CUACGGGUUGCAGCAGUGGGGAAUAUUGCACAAUGGGCGCAAGCCUGAUGCAGCCACGCCGCGUGUAUGAAGAAGGCCUUCGGGUUGUAAAGUACUUUCAGCGGGGAGGAAGGGAGUAAAGUUAAUACCUUUGCUCAUUGACGUUACCCGCAGAAGAAGCACCGGCUAACUCCGUGCCAGCAGCCGCGGUAAUACGGAGGGUGCAAGCGUUAAUCGGAAUUACUGGGCGUAAAGCGCACGCAGGCGGUUUGUUAAGUCAGAUGUGAAAUCCCCGGGCUCAACCUGGGAACUGCAUCUGAUACUGGCAAGCUUGAGUCUCGUAGAGGGGGGUAGAAUUCCAGGUGUAGCGGUGAAAUGCGUAGAGAUCUGGAGGAAUACCGGUGGCGAAGGCGGCCCCCUGGACGAAGACUGACGCUCAGGUGCGAAAGCGUGGGGAGCAAACAGGAUUAGAUACCCCUGUAGUC
rnacentral:rRNA from 1 species